UACGUAGGGGGGCAAGCGUUGUCCGGAAUCAUUGGGCGUAAAGCGCGUGUAGGCGGCCACGUAAGUCCGCUCUGAAAGCCCGGGGGCUCAACCCCCGGGAGGCGGGUGGAUACUGCGUGGCUCGAGUCCGGAAGAGGCGAGUGGAAUUCCCCGGUGUAGCGGUGAAAUGCGCAGAUAUCGGGAGGAACACCAAUGGCGAAGGCAGCUCGCUGGGACGUGACUGACGCUGAGACGCGAAAGCGUGGGGAGCAAACAGG
rnacentral:rRNA from 1 species